GCGGCGGUCGGCGGACGACCGACGCGGCGGCGCCCAGCCCCUGCCCCUGACUUGUAGGAUUUGUGAACUAUGAAGAGGGAUGGAGAUAUUGCUUCUAUGUUCCGAAAGCAUGCUGCAAAGAAACGUGCUUCAGCUUCAUCUCCUGUGGUGGAAGAGCAAAAUGAGGAGCAAGAGCAUAUGGAAGAGAGAGUAAUUGAAGAAGUUGUUGGUCCUACUCCUACACCACCUACUCCAUCUUUUGAACCAGUUGAAGAUGUGCUGCCAUCUCCACCUAUUAUUGUUGUAUUUCUAUUAAACUAUCUAGAUUGUAAUUUAAGAUUUACUAUGCUAUUUAGUAGUUGUGCACCGAAUUGUUGGGUACUUUUUAUGAAAUUAUACCGAAUUCCUAAAUGGAUUUUACCGGUUCGCAUAUA